GCUGGCUUAGGUGUAAUUCACAGAGGUCACCUACUUCAGGGUAGGUCUUUGAUGGCACCGUAUCUACCCCUGAAUGGUGCUGCGGGGUCUAACAGUCCCUACUCCGAAGGUGGUGCCUUGUAUGCACUAGGUCUGAUUCAUGCCAACCAUGGUGAAGGCAUCAAACAAUUUCUCCGAGAUAGCCUCCGGAAUACAAGUGCUGAGGUUAUCCAGCACGGGGCUUGCUUAGGUCUGGGACUCGCUGCUCUUGGAACUGCUGAUGAGGAAAUUUACGAGGAUGUAAAAAAUGUCCUGUACACGGAUAGUGCUGUAGCCGGGGAGGCUGCUGGCAUCAGCAUGGGGCUACUUAUGGUUGGUACUGCAAGUGAGAAGGCGAGUGAGAUGCUUGCCUAUGCUCACGAUACUCAGCACGAGAAGAUUAUUAGAGGGUUAGCACUGGGGAUUGCAUUGACUGUUUAUGGAAGGGAAGAACAAGCAGAUACAUUGAUUGAACAAAUGACUAGGGACCAAGAUCCG
rnacentral:misc_RNA from 1 species